CUAACGCAUCCUCGUUGCUGAGUUUGACUUUUUUUUUCUCUCUUUUGUGUGUUUUGGACCUUCUAGCUUUCUCCUUUCAGCAUAUAUCAUUCUUCUUUAGUCCAAAUCUUCAUUCUUCCCUAGAAACCUGCAAUUAACACCAAAGAAUAAAAUGUUCUUAUUCAAUUAAAGAUCAUAAUAAAUGUAAAAAUGUAUAAAUUCUUAAAUUAGAGAUUAUUUUAUUGAAGAAGCUUGGAAAGUGAAUAAAAACAAAAGUGACUGGAUGUAAUUCAAUAUGAGAUGAAAUCUUUGUAUAAUAAUCACACUUAUGACUUGGUAAAAUUGCAUAAGAGCAAAAGGACUUUAGAGAAUAAGUGAAUUUUCAGGGUGAAGUAAGGAAAUGUGCUACAUCUCUAUGGUACAAAGCUAAAUUAGUGGUGAAAGACUUUAGACAAUAAAAUGGUACCGAAUGGAGAAAUUAGUUUCACAUUAUUACUCUAUUUUAUGUUUUUCUUUCUCUAUUCUUUAAAUUUUGAAACCGUUAUUUCUCUGAUGUACGUUCUAAACACUUACUUUUACAUUUGAUUUAACUCUCUUGUAUUGAUAUAUUUGAUCUUAGUGGAAAUUGAUUGAAUGACUCAUGUUGAUAGAUUUUCACUUAAGUUGAGAGAAUUUUUGCAUUAUAAAUAUUGAUAUCUCCUUUGUCAUUUAUAUUUUUGGUCUUCGCAUAUGUUUAAAAUUUGAAGAAUUAUUUUCAAUGCAUAAUUUAAUAUUUUUUAUUAUUAAAUUGUUGUUUAGUGUAUAAGUUUUCACAUAAAUUAGUUGUUUCCAUAAUAACAUAAUAGGUUAAUUAUGUAAACCCAUUGAGCAUUUUAAAGAACUAUAAAGAUGUAAUUAUUUAAAAGUACAAAGGUUUUUUAAAAGAUUACUUCAAAAAUUAUAAUUAGUAUAUACUGUAACAUCUUCUGUUAGCCUUUUUUUCGUUAUCAAAUUUAAUUAUUUGAAUUUUGAUAUAAAUGUAUUUAAAACCGUGUAUUAAAUAAGUUGACAAGGUAUCAUGAUUUAUUUAAUAAAUAAUUCAAACUUUUCUUCCAAAUUUUAAUUUUAAAUGUUAGCCUUUUUCUCUCCUAAGAAAAGUAAUUAAAUUUGUUAGGUCAAUUUUAUCUUCAUUUAUUUUUAUCUCAAGCAAUAAAGUAUACAUAUAAAAAAAAAAGAUGUGAAUUAUGUUGGCUAAAGGGAUUGUGGUGGAAGAAAUAGUUGUAGAAGAAGUUAUAUAUGUCCUCAGUUUAGGCUAGGAGAAGUUAAACUAGAAUAAUUAAAUGUGUGUUAACUUUUUAUUGAUGGUAUGAUAAAAUAUGCUUAUGUAUCUUGGUAUGAUUAAUUAUUACUCAAUAAUUUACACUAUGCAACUCUUAGUCGACCUAUUGAGAGAUUGCAAACAACCCUUUCAAACUCGAAUUGUACAAGUUAAGAGAUAUUGAAAACCCACACCUAUACAUAUUGUUGGAGCAGGUUAGAAGAAUCAAAUAAGCUAUUUUUUAUAUACUGACUUUUAUUUUUUAAUAUUACCGUAAGAACAUUCGAGCAAGUGUUAGUCUUCUUACAUUUUAUAUUUUAUUUUCAUUUUCUAAACUAAUAUUUUAAAGGGAUCAGUUAACAACUCCAAGUAAUAUAUAUAAUUUAUCUCUGAUGUUUGAAAACUAAUUUUCUUAAAGAAGUGCUUAAUUAUGUAGAACAUUCCAUUCCUAUGCCUAUAUAAAAGUAAAAGCCGCAUCUUACCUUAUUGUUUGACUACACAUUUCUUCUCGAUUCUUUACAUUUUAGGAAGCAAGUUUUGAUAUCCAAAUGAGAUUAAUACAUCUAUAAUAGGCGAACGUCUGCUUCCAAAUCACAAAACAUUUUAUUUUUAGAAAGAGUCUAAAAGUGUAUCUCAAAAUUCAGUCAAAAUCGUAUGAAGGUAUGAGCCACAAAUUAAAAUGUACUUGAAGUAAUUAACAUCUGUUGAAGAUAACCAGAAAUUACAACUGGACAAAAUAUUUUUCAUUUGGUAUAAUAUGAGCCACCAAUUAAUAUGUAUUAGUAGUUUAUUAGAAUUAAUUUAGAAAAAAAUUGUUAGAUCAUACUAAACAAAAUAUCAAUUAAGUCAAUACCUUAAAAUUGUUCCAUUCUCUUCUCUCUCAUGUAUCAUGUUUUACCCCCACGUGGGUUUGCUGUUGGCUAUUCCUGCCAACUUUAACAUGUCUCCCCUUCCCAAUUGUGUCUCCUGAUAUUUCGAUUGUUGGAUAUGAGGCUCUCAUUAAUGAUCCAAGGGCAAACAUAUAUGUGUUUAAAGAUUUUAAUUUCCUUGCAUUUAUUAUAAAAUAAAUUUAAAUACUUUAUAUUAUUAACCUGAUUAUGAUAGAAAUAAAAAUAUCAUACACAUUAAAUUAAGAUGAAAUAAUAAUAUAAAAUAUAAAUUAAAUUAAAUUUUGUUAAUGUAAAAUAAUGUCAUAAUGUUAUUUAAUAAUUAAUUUAUAUUAGUUAUGUUAAAAAUUAUUGUUAAUUUUUUAUUAGUUGAUAAUGUAAAAGUAAUUAAAUUUUUAUUUUAAAUUGUAAAUAGAAAAACAUUUAUUACAAGACCUAAAAAAAUAGUUUCCGUUUUCUCAAAGAUGACAGGGUUGCUUGAAAAAGAAAAUUAUCCUCCUGAAUCCAUUGCGAUGGUUUUAGUAAGAAAUAAAAAUGUUAAAAAGCAUAGUGAUUGCAUCUAAUGUCCGUGACGGGCCCACGUCGGCACAGACACAACACGAUGACAACUACUACUCCGCAAUACAUAUCUAUUCUAAUAUUGUUGGUCUGAGCGAACCAGUUAUGUGGCCAAGAGAGAGCCACGUGUCCCGCAUUGAUUCGUCAUCACCUAGAUUUCCUCUCUGCGACCAGUGACUAAUAUAGAUAAUAGAAAAACCGCACCAAAAGAAAUCAACUUACUCACUCGUCUCCGCGUUUAGGUUGCUCUAAUUCUACUCCAUUCCACUUCUCAUUGGGAACAAGAGAGAGAGUAGUACCGUUAGAUUAGCGGCGUUUUUCAAAAGUGCUUUUUUCUGUUCAGACCAUGGGAAUUGAAAGAGGAGGCUUGAAGGGGUUCAGGAGCGGCUGGACCGUGCCGCCAAAGCCAUGUGACUCCUGCAAGUUGGCUUCGGCGGCGCUUUUCUGCCGCCCCGAUUCCGCUUUUCUCUGCAUCGCCUGCGACUCCAAGAUUCACUGUGCCAACAAGCUGGCAUCGCGCCACGAGCGCGUCUGGGUGUGCGAGGUCUGCGAGCAGGCCCCCGCGGCUGUCACGUGCAAGGCUGACGCCGCCGCCCUCUGCAUCACCUGCGACUCUGACAUCCACUCUGCCAACCCCCUCGCGCGCCGCCACGACCGCGUCCCUGUUGAGCCCUUCUACGACUCCGCCGACUCCAUCGUCAAGGCCUCCACCGCCGCCUCCUUCGGCUUCAUCGUCCCCUCCGACGACGCCACCGGAGCCUCCGAUGCCUUCG
rnacentral:lncRNA from 1 species